rnacentral:lncRNA from 1 species
GUGCUUAAUAACCUCCAUGAACAGUAUCAGUGUGGUUCCUUCCCCUUUUGGAGACCACUGCCUGGAAUUUGGACAGCCCCAUGCUGCACUAAGAGGCAUUUAUUUACAGGAUGGGACGACUUCUGCUUUCUUGUAAUUGGUUGGGCCAUGAGCUCUGGCUGACUGGGCUCCCAGAUGGCUUCAGUUUUCCUUUGAGUUUCCAUUAAAUAAUGCCAUAAUUGUUAGCUUGAGAGGAUGUUGAACACAGUCCCUGCUAACUGCCAAACCACCCUUGUAGGAAGCCAAGGAUGUUUGAGGAGCCACAGAACCUUCCCUGUCCGGUGUGGAGAGAGAGCUGAGAGUGAGAAGAGGAUCAGCAGGGUGUGCUUUCUUUCAAUUUACUUAUGAUCUUACCUGGUCCUGGCACACCUUUUUUGUUGUUGUUGUUGUUGUUGUUGUUGUUGUUUUGGUACCGGGAUCAAACUCGGGUCCUUGUGCUUGCACAGCAGGUGGUGAAACCACUGAGCUAAAUCCCCAGCCCUGUUGUUGUUUGUUUUUUGUUACAAGGUCUUGCUAUGUGGUUCAGGCUGGCCUUCAACUCACUAUGUAGCACAGGCUGGACUCAAAUUUGCAGAGAUCCUCCUGUCUCAGCCUCCCAAGUGCUAGGAUUACAGAAAAGAAAACUGAGCCUGGAAGUUUAUCAAGGCAAGAUAGAAACAAUCCAGCCAUGUAACCUCCAGGUCAGUUCUCUGCACCUGGCUGCUAUUGCCUGAGUCUCAGAGGCUGGGAGAGAGGAAACACAGACAUCUGUCGGGGUGGGGUUCCGGGGCUAUCACUGUCCUGACUGGUGUCACAGUGUACCAUCUCCAAAGCUCUGCAGUUAGGGUCAGAGGGACUGUUCUGCCUAGCCCUGCAGGUGGCCCUGGUACCUGCUGCCUCCCGCUUCCCAAGUCCCCCACUGCCUGGGCAGGGUGCCAUCUCCACAAGGCAGAUCACAUCCAUUUGAUCUCAAACACCAGCACAAUCGGGUCUGAAAUGACAGCUCGCAGCUGGUGAUGUCAUGCUGUUCUGCUUGCCUCCAAGGACUGGGGAUCCAAUUUCAGAAGUGAAGAAAAUGGUCGGGGGGGAAAAAAUUACUUCAUUUGGAAAAUUCCGUAAAACCAUAAAUACAGUUGGAGCUGAUGGAAGCCACACCCGCUGGCAGACAAUGGCUUUGGGGUGGAGGAAAGGACCUCCCUCUGGGAGGCUGGGCCCCUUCCCACCACCCACUGCCAGACAGCUCUGCCUCCUUCCCCAGCAGAUGGACACAUGCUUACUUCGGGCAAGAUGGGCAACACUUGCCCUCCUCCCUGAGAGCCUCUCCAUACCCAGGGCAAGCUGGCUGGGAGCGCAUUUUCCCUGGCUGAAUCCUGUCUCCAGCCCAGAGUCCCUCCUGGAGCAGCCAGCACAAUUAUGCCCACUUUCCUCUCUGAAAUGGUUGACCUGCAUUUCUGAGUUGCUGGUAAAAUAAAUUAAAAGUAACAUUUUGCUUUGUUGUUUUCAUUUCUUAUUCCAUUUCCAGCCAUGUGAUGUCUUAUGAAUCCCUUUUUGCUUUUCUUACUCCACCUCAACAGUCAGCACAGUGAGAGAGAGGCAGAAAGCCAAGGGUGAAACCUAUUAAGCUGGCCAUGAGAGCUCUGAGUGUAACUCCUAGCUCCGAGCCUCAGCCCUGAGCCAGGGAGGGACAGUCACUGCCCAGAAAGACCAGGGGCAGAGAGCUAAGAUCCAGGAGCAAUUUCAAGAGAUGUUGGAUUUAAUAAUAUAAAAAGAGUAUGGUAAGAUUACAGAAUCUUGGACAAUGGGAGAAAGUCUCCCUAACUCAACCCCUCCUUCCAUCAUGGCUUCCAGAUUUCAGUCACUGAGCCACUCAUUUGGUCUUCCCUUUUUCCUGUGGUGUCCCUGGACCCCACCCCCACCCAGCCUCCAGGA